rnacentral:rRNA from 1 species
UACGUAGGGGGCAAGCGUUGUCCGGAUUUAUUGGGCGUAAAGAGCGUGUAGGCGGCCAGUGAGGUCUGCUGUGAAAACUCGAGGCUUAACCUCGAGCUGUCGGCGGAAACCAUCUGGCUAGAGUCCGGAAGAGGAGAAUGGAAUUCCCGGUGUAGCGGUGAAAUGCGCAGAUAUCGGGAAGAACACCCGUGGCGAAGGCGGUUCUCUAGUACGGUACUGACGCUGAGACGCGAAAGCGUGGGGAGCGAACAGG